rnacentral:rRNA from 1 species
AGCGAACGCUGGCGGCAGGCUUAACACAUGCAAGUCGAGCGGGCCCUUCGGGGUCAGCGGCGGACGGGUGAGUAACGCGUGGGAACGUGCCUUCUGGUUCGGAAUAACCCUGGGAAACUAGGGCUAAUACCGGAUACGCCCUUUUGGGGAAAGGUUUACUGCCGGAAGAUCGGCCCGCGUCUGAUUAGCUAGUUGGUGGGGUAACGGCCUACCAAGGCGACGAUCAGUAGCUGGUCUGAGAGGGUGAUCAGCCACACUGGGACUGAGACACGGCCCAGACUCCUACGGGAGGCAGCAGUGGGGAAUAUUGGACAAUGGGCGCAAGCCUGAUCCAGCCAUGCCGCGUGAGUGAUGAAGGCCUUAGGGUUGUAAAGCUCUUUUAUCCGGGACGAUAAUGACGGUACCGGAGGAAUAAGCCCCGGCUAACUUCGUGCCAGCAGCCGCGGUAAUACGAAGGGGGCUAGCGUUGCUCGGAAUCACUGGGCGUAAAGGGCGCGUAGGCGGCGUUUUAAGUCGGGGGUGAAAGCCUGUGGCUCAACCACAGAAUGGCCUUCGAUACUGGGACGCUUGAGUAUGGUAGAGGUUGGUGGAACUGCGAGUGUAGAGGUGAAAUUCGUAGAUAUUCGCAAGAACACCGGUGGCGAAGGCGGCCAACUGGACCAUUACUGACGCUGAG